UAAGUGGAAUGUCUUUGAGGUUAGUUUAUA
rnacentral:piRNA from 1 species